UACGUAGGUGGCAAGCGUUGUCCGGAAUUAUUGGGCGUAAAGCGCGCGCAGGCGGCCUUUUAAGUCUGAUGUGAAAGCCCACGGCUCAACCGUGGAAGGUCAUUGGAAACUGAAAGGCUUGAGUACAGAAGAGGAAAGCGGAAUUCCACGUGUAGCGGUGAAAUGCGUAGAGAUGCGGAGGAACACCGAUGGCGAAGGCAGCCCCCUGGGCUAACACUGACGCUCAGGCACGAAAGCGUGGGGAGCAAACAGG
rnacentral:rRNA from 1 species